AGAUCAUUUUAACAUUUGCUGGAAUCAAAGUUUUAAAUCUGUUCUUAUCACUUUAAGAACUGAUACUUCCUCUAUCUCAGGACUAGCUAUUAAACUGAUUUUUUGGAAUAGGGAGAUGGAAUAUUGAGCUUCCUCCAGCCACUGCACACAGCGCCCUGUUAAUGUGGCACUGAACCUCCAUGAACGGUGGACCUCCC